rnacentral:rRNA from 1 species
AAGGUUCGUCCGCCCUGGGUUAGUCGGGACCUAAGCUGAGGCCGAAAGGCGUAGGUGAUGGACAACAGGUUGAUAUUCCUGUACUACCGAUAACCGUUUGAGAGAUGGGAUGACACAGUAGGAUAAGCUAAGCACACUGUUGGUUAUGUGUGCCCAAGCAUUGAGGCAGUCAAAGUAGGUAAAUCCGCUUUGAUAAUGCUGGGAUGUGAUGGGGAGCGAAAUUUAGUAGCGAAGUAGCUGAUUUCACACUGUCAAGAAAAGUCUCUAUCGAGGUUAAAGGUACCCGUACCGCAAACCGACACAGGUGGGUGAGGAGAGUAUCCUAAGGCCAGCGAGAGA